rnacentral:rRNA from 1 species
CCUACGGGAGGCAGCAGUAGGGAAUCUUCGGCAAUGGGGGCAACCCUGACCGAGCAACACCGCGUGAGUGAAGAAGGUUUUCGGAUCGUAAAGCUCUGUUGUAAGAGAAGAUCGUGUGUGAGAGUGGAAAGUUCACACAGUGACGGUAACUUACCAAAAAGGGACGGCUAACUACGUGCCAGCAGCCGCGGUAAUAAUCGUCCAC